UUUAUAGUUCAUAAUGCAUGAGCAAAACCGAAAGUUUCUGUGAUGGCUGCCCUUGUACUGUUCACCAUGUAAGAACUUAUUCACUAUGUAAGAAUUUGUUCUCCAUGUAAGAACUUGUUUGUUAUGCCUCAGAAGAUUGGAGACUGACGAAAAUUAGGCUUAGGGUGGAUUAAUGAUUGUGCAUUGAGCAUUGACUCCCCUAUACAGAAUUUUAUUGUCAUUAACAACCAUUUGAUCAAUAAAUAUGAGAGAUGCCCUCACAAAGAAAAGAAAAGAAAAGAAAAAGAAUAACAAAGUACCCAUCCCUUUCUGCUGGAUGUUGAUGAGGAUUUUGUAACUCAUGUGCAAAAAGGAGGAAUACAGAGAAACAAUGUAGCUAGACUUUGUAUUUUAUUUAUUCAGUGUAGGUUUAAUGAAGACACAGUCUUCAGUGUAUUGUACUUCAUUUAAUUAGUCCUCUGUUUAAAAUUUUCUUUUAGUUACUGGGAGGGGAAGAUAAAUUCUUUAUAAACUAGGAGGAAAUGUUUAUAUCAGGCAGUGAAAAAUUGGACUCCAAGCUCGCUGUGGCCUGCCAGAGCACAGGCAUGUGGCUGCUGCUCCAGAGGUCUGUCCUGCCUUUCUAAGAGUUGAGGAACUUAGGCCCACAGAGGCCUUGCAUGCAGCUGCUGUGUGUGAAGCUUGGGAGGCAGGGGAGUCUGAGAGCUGCUCAGCAGGCCCAGCAACCUCACUGUCUUUCCUCCUACCCCAACUGUGCCUUCACUGUUCUCUGCAGUUUUCCAAGAGCAACAGGAAAUGAACAAAUCAGAGGUUCAUCUUGUCCUUACCUAAACUUUUUCUGGUCUUCAUGCAGCUGGCAUCCUUACAUUGUGCAUUAUUUUCAGAGAUAACUCAGAAAGUGUUAACAAACACUAAAAACUCUCUGUACUCUUUUGUUGCUACAUGCUCAUUUAUCCCAUUAGGUAAGUUCCGUUUUAACCCUUAAGUUUUGAAAGUCCAUUAUACUGAGUUUUUUCUACAUGUCUUAAGGAUAGAUUCUGAUUAUAGUUUGAUUUCUUAGAUGGCUUAUAGUUUUUUUUCUGGUUUUCUAAACUUCUUGGUUCAAUAUUGGACACACAUUUAUUUUAAAAAUUAUAAAUUUAGUUUUCAAGUUAUUUUGCAUCGCUGUGUUUAAAACAUGAUUUUUAAAAUAUUUAAUGUUAAUUUUUUAUUCCAAUGUUUAUCAGUUAUUAAAUGGUAUUUUAAUGUAGAAGCUGCUGAUUAGAGAUAGCAAAACUGUGUUCUGGCUACUCAUAUAUCUGAAAGCCUGAAAUUUUGGCAUGUGGAUAUAGGAUUGAUAUUUUCAGAUGGGGAUAGUGUUCUUGAAAUACUCUACAAGGAGAGGACACAUACACUUUCAUAGUGAUGCCAGCCACUACUGUAUACCAAGCUGUCAUGGUUUUAGUUUUUUUUCUUUCUUUACCUUUUUUUUUUUUUUCUGUGUUUGUAUGCAUUGGGUAAUGUAUUCCCUUUGGAAAAAUAAAUACACUAUAAACAGUA